CAGUCGAGGGGCAGCAUGGUCUUAGCUUGCUAAGGCCGAUGGCGACCGGCGCACGGGUGAGUAACACGUAUCCAACCUGCCGUCUACUCUUGGACAGCCUUCUGAAAGGAAGAUUAAUACAAGAUGGCAUCAUGAGUCCACAUGUUCACAUGAUUAAAGGUAUUCCGGUAGACGAUGGGGAUGCGUUCCAUUAGAUAGUAGGCGGGGUAACGGCCCACCUAGUCUUCGAUGGAUAGGGGUUCUGAGAGGAAGGUCCCCCACAUUGGAACUGAGACACGGUCCAAACUCCUACGGGAGGCAGCAGUGAGGAAUAUUGGUCAAUGGGCGAGAGCCUGAACCAGCCAAGUAGCGUGAAGGAUGACUGCCCUAUGGGUUGUAAACUUCUUUUAUAAAGGAAUAAAGUCGGGUAUGGAUACCCGUUUGCAUGUACUUUAUGAAUAAGGAUCGGCUAACUCCGUGCCAGCAGCCGCGGUAAUACGGAGGAUCCGAGCGUUAUCCGGAUUUAUUGGGUUUAAAGGGAGCGUAGAUGGAUGUUUAAGUCAGUUGUGAAAGUUUGCGGCUCAACCGUAAAACUGCAGUUGAUACUGGAUAUCUUGAGUGCAGUUGAGGCAGGC
rnacentral:rRNA from 1 species